AUACGUAGGUGGCAAGCGUUGUCCGGAAUUAUUGGGCGUAAAGCGCGCGCAGGCGGUCCUUUAAGUCUGAUGUGAAAGCCCACGGCUCAACCGUGGAGGGUCAUUGGAAACUGGGGGACUUGAGUGCAGAAGAGGAAAGCGGAAUUCCAAGUGUAGCGGUGAAAUGCGUAGAGAUUUGGAGGAACACCAGUGGCGAAGGCGACUUUCUGGUCUGUAACUGACGCUGAGGCGCGAAAGCGUGGGGAGCAAACAGGAUUAGAUACCCUGGUAGUCCACGCCGUAAACGAUGAGUGCUAAGUGUUAGGGGGUUUCCGCCCCUUAGUGCUGCAGCUAACGCAUUAAGCACUCCGCCUGGGGAGUACGGUCGCAAGACUGAAACUCAAAGGAAUUGACGGGG
rnacentral:rRNA from 1 species